rnacentral:rRNA from 1 species
UACGUAGGGUGCAAGCGUUGUCCGGAAUUAUUGGGCGUAAAGAGCGCGUAGGCGGUCCGGUAAGUCGGUUGUGAAAGUCGGGGGCUCAACCCUCGGAUGCCGAUCGAUACUGUCGGGCUAGAGUCCGGAAGAGGAGAAUGGAAUUCCUGGUGUAGCGGUGAAAUGCGCAGAUAUCAGGAAGAACACCCGUGGCUAAGGCGGUUCUCUAGUACGGUACUGACGCUGAGACGCGAAAGCGUGGGGAGCGAACAGG